UCCUGCCUUUAAACUCAUCAA
rnacentral:piRNA from 1 species